CAGCCGCCACGGUAAUACGUAGGGUGCAAGCGUUAAUCGGAUUUACUGGGCGUAAAGCGUGCGCAGGCGGUUAUAUAAGUCAGAUGUGAAAUCCCCGGGCUCAACCUGGGAACCGCAUUUGAGACUGUAUGGCUAGAGUGUGUCAGAGGGGGGUAGAAUUCCACGUGUAGCAGUGAAAUGCGUAGAUAUGUGGAGGAAUACCGAUGGCGAAGGCAGCCCCCUGGGAUAACACUGACGCUCAUGCACGAAAGCGUGGGGAGCUAACAGGAUUAGAUACCCCUGUAGUCCCUGUCUCUUAUAC
rnacentral:rRNA from 1 species